CUGAUGUCUCCUGAAUGGAAGUAAAAUUUGACUUAGCAGCCUGAGAGUUUGAAAUCUGCUUGCUUGUAAUCCAGAGUAAUUCAUUAAGGUCAAGCUUGCAAUGAGGCUGGAAUAGUAAUUGCUCCUAACAGUGCUGCCUUGACUGAAAUGUAAGAAGCGUGUAAUUAAUUCUUGCGGUUAAUUGGAUAAGGUCUCUGAAGCACUUUCUUUUGCUCCUGUAAUUCCUGGAUAACCUAUGCCGUGAUAUUGACCUAAAUUCUCCCCCUUGGUCAGGAAAGGAGGGUGUGAUCCCUGAUUAAAUUGUCUCUGUGACCACAUAUUUUAUUUAGGACUGCAUCUCAGAAGCUGUGUAUUGUGUGUAGCUGUGAUUUGUCAGACCUUGACAGGAGCUGUUGCAAUAGGAAAGCUGUCCUGUCGCUUGUCUCCUCAUUUCUGCCCAUAUGGCACUGCCCUGCGUGGAUGUGAGCGCUUGUGCAAGCAUUGUGAGCUGAGCUAGAGUGUACAUGAGGCGGGGGGAGGAUUUAUUGUUCAGCCCCACAAGUGGUUGUCAUGAGUAUUUAAACUGUGUUCUUGAUGGUUGCCUGAUUGUGUGGGUGCAGUAGUUUAAGCUAAACAAAAAAGUUGUGUAUACUUUGGGCAUAAUGGUGCAUUAUAUUGACAAGUCUUAUGCAGCGCUUGUAAUAGUUCAUUCAGCAGCUGAACAAGUCUACUUCUUUUUUGCUUCAAUUUAUUCCUUAUCAUCUUUGUACUCCUGUUCUUUGCUUGCCUACAGGUUUGACUCGUGUUUCCUGGAGGAAAAGACUUGUUUCAGGUAAAUUUCUUCAAAGAGUCAGAGACCCAAAUCCAGUUGCUGCUGCAGUCGUACAACAGCAUCUGGAAUGCUUGCAGCCAGAUAAGCAAGGAGUUUCUUCUCGGUGAGUAUAAGCAUGGAUCCUUGUUCUUGUUAAUUAUAGCUUUUCUUUAAGCUUUUUAAGUUUUGCUUUAAAGUUCAGGUUUUUCUUAAUUCUUGCAGAGCCACUG
rnacentral:lncRNA from 14 species